ensembl:lncRNA
GGACGAUGAAGGAAACAUCUGUGCUGUGUCUGCUCUGAGUCGAGGAAACACAGCAGGCAGUGAAAAGAUCAAAUCAUUCACUCAUUAUAUCAACACAGCUUACUUCUAUUCACUGACAUCUUAAUCCUGGGUUCUCCUGAGCUUGAACCUGAACGUCAGACAAACCAUCGACUGCAGGAGACAUGAGCCUCAGACCAUCUCACCAUCAUCAUCUUCAUCAUCACCAUCAUCAUCAUCAUCAUCAUCAUCAUCAGACAUGGCUGGUAAGGACAUGAGGAGGAAACAGUAGGAGCUGUGUGAGGCUACUAAAGGCAGUGGAUCCCUCAGCAGCUGGAUUACAAAGAGCACAGUCUACAGUCUCAGAUCAACACAGCCCUGCCCUCCAGCACUAUCAGCAGCAGGAGCAGCAGAAACACCUCAACAGCAACAUUGUACCCAUCAGCACAGAAAACCAACAACAGCAGCAACAAGAAUCACAGAAACACUCAGACCAGCGAUGAGUCCAACAGGUGCAACUGUGUCUCCUCCUGUCUGACCUGCAGCCAAUUUGAGGUGUUCUCCCCUUGAGCCCAUGUUAAAAGGCUGGCUUCACUACACACCACAGAAAGAGAAACAGGACAAAGUUCUGCAGUAUUUAAACAUGAACGUGGAUAUUUGACCUGGUGUAAUGUGUUCGUCCCUCAGUCUGCUGAGAUGAUCACCACUCAUCUCUUCAAGCGGUUAGUUAGUCUGUUAGUGUAGUGAUGUGUAAUAAAUGCAUUUUUUAAUGUUUGAAGUUACGAACAACUGCAGUGAGUGCUUAGAGCCACUAGAUGGACGGAUGGAUAGAAAAUAGUUUGAAAAGCCUUUACUUUGCUCACACGAGUCACGUUUGACAUCAAAUUGUUACCUAGAAAGAAGAGUUACAUUAACUAGUUACUUACAGGAAAAGGAUGGAAUCAGAAACUGUGUAGUGUUUGUGAUCCUGGCUGUCGACUCUAUUUCAGACUUCCUCUAAGCUACACUGACAUCACUCCUCCUUUGCUUUGAACUAUUCACAGUUGAACACAGCGUAACUGUAAAACCACAGAGUUGAACUUCCUGUUAUGAUGUUCUGCUCUAAAUGCUCCCUCACUUUUUGUCUCUAUGACAAACUAAGAAUGAUAAAAGGAUCAGCUGACAUGCGUGACGUCAGUUUUAGUUCCAGAGUUCUGCAACAUCAACAUUGAUAUCGUGCAGACUGAUGCCAGCAGAAAUGAGAGCUUUGUUUGGUUUAAAUGUUAUAGCAUGAAAAUGUUUUAGUUUUACUUUAGUGUUUUGUUCUUUACAUAGUGUAGUAAAGUUUCCUUUACACAGUGGGUUUGUCUUUAGUGUCUGGUCGUUCUGGCAUUUUAAGCUGAAAAGCUUCACAAAGGUCAGAGGUUACAAAUUCAAUUCUCUGAGUAACACAUCCAUAUCAUAACCUGCUAUAAUGUUUCUAUGAUAAUGAAUAAAUAAUAAACUUAGCUGCUAUUGGGAAAAAAAAACACGACAAAUGAAAAUUUCAACCACCCUGUCCUAUUAUACCUUUUUCUCAGAAUUUACCUCUCUGGGCCAGAACAGAAGACCAGGGUAGGGGUGUCAAACAUAAGGCAUGGGAGCCAUAAUCUGCCCAUCACAGGCCCACUGGGUGUCAUUGGAAAAUGCAGCUUUGCUGCUUUUUCACUGAUGACCUCAUCAAAGGUGAAGGUGAUGCCAGAUUGAAUGUGAACUUAAACUACUUUACAUUGAGGGGAGUUUAAUGUGGCCCACGAUGUAAAACCAGUUUGACAUACCUGCCCCAGAGUCAUUCACUAAUAUUAAUAAACUGGUAAAUAACAUGCUGUCAUUCAAACAGGGUUCAUCUUCACUUUUAAGGUCAGUAUUCACUCAGAUCUGCCAGUGACAGUGAUGGAAGAGCAACACCUCCACCUUUUAAAUACAUUAAAUGGAAAGGCUUUAUAAUACGGUGGGCGGGUCGUUCCAUGUCACUGUGAUAGAUCUGGAUAGAUGAUGAAUAUUCAAGCUACACAAUAUUUUACCUUCAUACUAUAAAAGAUUUCAGGUGUUAGAGGUCAUUGAAGUACAAACAGAGCAGGUGUAACUUGUCACUUAUUAUGUCCUAAUAUUUUUUCCAGGAUUUUUCUGAAUUAUAGCAAUUCGGGUAAAUGAUGCAUCAUUUGUCUGAACUCUGUAGUGAUUUCAUGUAGUGUGAUCCAGGAUUAAAUGAAACAAUUUGUUUUUAAACACAUUUUUUUACUUUAGUGUUUAGUUUAGUUGUUGUUUUCUAAGUUAAGUGUUUUGUUUGUUCACACAUACUAAGCCAGGAGUUACUCAUUGUUCCCAAUAUUUUUUGAAUCUCGAUGUUCAGCAACAUUAAUUUCUGUCCUCACAUCACCUAGUUUUCUUCUAAAUGCAUGAAACCACAGCAGAAGACUCAGUAAUCAGCUGUAGAGACAUUUCAAACCUGCUGCUUUUCAUGAGGAUGCUAGUUAAAAUCCGGUUUGUGUCGUUCAUGUUUUCUGUAG